GAUGAACGCUGGCGGCGUGCUUAACACAUGCAAGUCGAACGGUGAAGGCGGAGCUUGCUCUGCUGGAUCAGUGGCGAACGGGUGAGUAACACGUGAGCAAUCUGCCCCUGACUCUGGGAUAAGCGCUGGAAACGGCGUCUAAUACUGGAUACGAGCUGCGAAGGCAUCUUCAGCAGCUGGAAAGAAUUUCGGUCAGGGAUGAGCUCGCGGCCUAUCAGCUUGUUGGUGAGGUAAUGGCUCGCCAAGGCGUCGACGGGUAGCCGGCCUGAGAGGGUGACCGGCCACACUGGGACUGAGACACGGCCCAGACUCCUACGGGAGGCAGCAGUGGGGAAUAUUGCACAAUGGGCGAAAGCCUGAUGCAGCAACGCCGCGUGAGGGACGACGGCCUUCGGGUGGUAAACCUCUUUUAGCAGGGAAGAAGCGAAAGUGACGGUACCUGCAGAAAAAGCGCCGGCUAACUACGU
rnacentral:rRNA from 1 species